UACGGGGGGAGCAAGCGUUGUUCGGAUUUACUGGGCGUAAAGGGCGCGUAGGCGGCCACCGCAAGUCGACUGUGAAAUCUCCGGGCUUAACCCGGAGCGGUCAAGUGAUACUGUCGUGCUAGAGUGCGGAAGGGGCUACUGGAAUUCUCGGUGUAGCGGUGAAAUGCGUAGAUAUCGAGAGGAACACCAGAGGUGAAGACGGGUUGCUGGGCUGACACUGACGCUGAGGCGCGAAAGCCAGGGUAGCAAACGGG
rnacentral:rRNA from 1 species